GCACAGCUGGAGGGACCGUGCUGACUGAAGUUCACAGGGUGGGUCCACGUCCUCUGACAAGGCCUCUCUGCAGAAGGUGUUGCCGAGCAAAGUCUGGCCGCUGUUCACCGAUGCUGAGUAGGAACACGGAGACGAGCUCUGGAGGAGCAGAAAGGGGUCGCUAUAUUACUCUGCCAGGCAAAGGGGGAACACAGUGGCAAGUGCCUCAGGAACUGUGCCCCCUCCCUGGGGAAGAGAAAGAGGUCUCAUAGGCGGGGCUCGUGGUCAGGGGUGGGCGAUAAGGAUGAAGGCAGUAGCCGUCUUACAUCUUCUGACAGGUGGGUGGUGAGGGAAGUAGGAGUCCGCGUCCUCCACCUUCAGGUCCAGCUGGUCUGGCGUCUGCAGGCUUGUGGGCAGCACAACAUCAUUCAUCAUUCACUUCUCCCACCUGGAGGGGGUUUCAACUUCUGCAAAACAGCUCAAAGAUACUGUCGUGUGUAUCGUUGCUGGGGAAACAGGACCUCCCCCAAGGCUGCUCUUGACUUGUUUCUCCCAGGUCUGGCAUCCCCUCCCUUCACGAAUUCACACCUGCUUGACUCUGCCCGCUGGAGCUCAGGGAAGGUCCUGGAGGCUGUUUCCUAUAUUCAGAGAAAUGGGGGACACAGGAAGACUCUGUGCUCAAGAGCUCCACAGGGUCCUGCUCGGUAUCAAAGGGACCACCUGGCAUGUCAGCCUGUCCUUUAUAGAUUAACAUAAAUCUUCCUAAAACCUCACUUUCACUAAUUCUCCAUUUUAUUCUCCAAAUCUCUGUCCAUCUGACCACAGGACGUGCUUGCAAAUCCAUGUCCAUCUCUGCCUCCAGCCGUCUCUCCCAUGAGUGUCCUAUUGAGGCAGAAUCUCCUUGCGGUCCCCAUGGAAAAAGCAGCAAUAGGGGAACCAGCACACACUGAGCACUUGGGGAAACGGCGGGGCCAGUGCUGACCCUCCCCUCCCCCACCCUGCCGGUAAAGCUCUGGACGCAGAGUCUGCCAGGACUGCUCCUCCUCCGAGAAACAUCCUAACGACACAAGGUCACUACCGUCUGCCAGUUGCUUCUACGGCUUUCCUUACACCGCUGUUGAGAAUGUUUCCCCAUUUACAGCAAGUGUGAAACAAGCCACCUUCCAACUUGAUUACCGUGUUGUGAUGACCAAGGACACGUGCGUUCAGUCCUAUUACAAGUCCUCCCGUCGUGCUGUCUCCCUGCCACUGGAACAUCGGGAGAAACAAGGUCAAGUUUGUCACUUAUGCCCGUAACCAAUGUCCCAUAACAUGCAGUGGAUCUGCUAAUGACAUUAAUGAUUAUAAAUGAGAGGAAACUGGGGAUUAGGAGAGAGUAGGAAAAAGCAGACUGCAGAGCAGGUAGGAUUCUCUUUUAUUUGUCUUUGCAAUGCAAUCUUAGGAGAGAAUAAAUGCUGAAAAUAGGAAAAGUGUACAUAAACCUUGGACCUCUAUUAUGAUAUCUGUAAAACAGAGAAACAAAUAAGCAGAAGAGAAGUCGGGAGCCGGGAGGGAUGCUGUGCUCAUCACCUGAUCCCACCCAGCUGGCUGCGGAAGAAAGGGCGUAAGAUGACGUCCUCCUGUCCCGCUGUGCCCCCCACAGGUGACCAGGGCCUUCUCCUUAGGCUGCACAGCGAGAGCGGGAGGAGGGGAAGGACGUCCGCUUCUAGCAGUGCUCGCUGAGGGCAGGUCGUUCCAAUGAAAACCCCUGGAAGCAACCAGAAAAUCGCACAAACACAAUGGACACAGAGGAGGAAAGCAUUAACGUCGUCAGAGACCCGGCAAGGCAGUGAGGAAUCUGAGGAUAUGGUCCCGAGAAAGGCAGGAAAAUGGGGAGGGGACCCCACGCUGGCACCCUCUUCCCUUCAGUGAAUGUGUUGGUUCACAAGCAGCAGCUGAGACGUGGAGAAACCGACGAGAAAGAGGCUGGGAAAUUCAGAAGAUGCAUUUUACAUCUCACAGAACUAAAAGGACAGAAGUUUGAGUUCAGGGCCCACUAUAGGAAGGGGCCCAAAUGCACCCCCAGAGGUAAGGACGUAGAGUGGAGGCAGGGACCGUGGGGAACAGCAUGGCCGGGACCCGCCUCCCCCCUCCUGGCCACCAGCCGGUCCACAGUGACCCCUCCCUGGGGAAAGACGGUGGCAUCUGGAGGCCCAAACUACCUCUACAAUGAUCUGUGCACCCUGCCUGUUAUCACUCAGAUGUUUCCAGGCGCAUGGAGACAAUUUCAGCUGUGUAAAUCAACAAGCUCGAUCGUAGCUGUUCACUGGUCAACAUUUUAUAGGCAUUUCUCAUCAGUCAAAUAAGCUAAAUAAAAUAAACGAUAAGAAUAAAAUAAAAAAAUACACGUGUCUCUACUUACAGAUAAAAUGUGUUUAUGAAAGAAAUAUUCUAUAAACUAUUAAAUUUAACAGAUGAGUUAGGCUCACUGAACACAAUGUCAUUUCACAGAAAGCUAUCCUAUUCACCAGCAAUUAACUAACAGAAAGUAAAAUUUUUAAAUGAUACCAUUUACCACAGCAUAAAACUCAUCAAGGUCCUAGGAAAUGUGUAAAUAAGUGUAAGGCCUCUAUACCAAAGUUACUAAGAUUA